AUUGAACGCUGGCGGCAUGCCUUACACAUGCAAGUCGAACGGUAACGGGUCCUUCGGGAUGCCGACGAGUGGCGAACGGGUGAGUAAUAUAUCGGAACGUGCCCAGUAGUGGGGGAUAACUGCUCGAAAGAGCAGCUAAUACCGCAUGAGAUCUACGGAUGAAAGCAGGGGAUCGCAAGACCUUGUGCUACUAGAGCGGCCGAUGGCAGAUUAGGUAGUUGGUGGGAUAAAAGCUUACCAAGCCGACGAUCUGUAGCUGGUCUGAGGGGACGAUCAGCCACACGGGGACUGGGACACGGCCCAGACUCCUACGGGAGGCAGCAGUGGGGAAUUUUGGACAAUGGGCGAAAGCCUGAUCCAGCAAUGCCGCGUGCAGGAUGAAGGCCUUCGGGUUGUAAACUGCUUUUGUACGGAACGAAAAGCCCCGGGUUAAUACCCUGGGGUCAUGACGGUACCGUAAGAAUAAGCACCGGCUAACUACGUGCCAGCCGCCGCAGUAA
rnacentral:rRNA from 1 species